UGUGUGUGUAUGUUGGGGGAGCCUCUCCCGCCCCCUCACGGCGGUACGCCGCGCAUGCGCAGGCCCAGCCGGCGGGCUCCUGGUGGUCGCGUUGCCUGUUGGAGUCUGUCUGUGAUCCAGGACCCCCUCCCUAGGCAGUGUGAGAACGGGCAGGGACGCAGCCCCUGAUGGGACCGCAGAGCCUUGAGCCUUCCCUUCCUUCUGCUGCUCCUGUCCUCGCCCCGUCUCCCAUCACCAACGCUCCAUCUGCGUCCCCCAAAGCAACCAGGCUCCGGCAACAGCCCUCCUGCAAGCCCGGGGCAAGGAAACAAGCAUUUCUUAUUAUCAGGACGACUGACGUUAUUUCAGCCCAUCACUAAGACUUAUGGCAGAAAAGGAAGACAGAAUGAGACAAAGCUGCAAUUUCCCAGCAAGCACUUUUUCUCAGAAAUGGGGAGGAGUGGAUACACUAAUUCUGAAAAGCCUGACUAAUAAAUCUGGAAAUUAACUCCCGUCUACCCCUUUG
rnacentral:lncRNA from 1 species